AGGCUUGUGGAUGGGAGAUCCCUUCACGAAAAUGGCGUUGAUAUCAUUGAUGGACGCUUGGAGGUGUAUAACCAACACGAAUGGGGCAAUGUCUGCGAUGAUGAGUUCUCAGAUUUGUCAGCUAGAGUGGUUUGUCGAAUGUUGGGGUUUGAAAGUAAUGCGAAGAUGCUAUUAACUUACCGUUAUGGAAAUAAGCCUAUAGCUCUUGACCAGGUUGAAUGUAUUGGAUCAGAGAAGGACAUACUAGAUUGUCCACGUUUAAACUGGCGUGAACAUGACUGCACUCACGAGCAGGACGUCGGCGUUCGAUGUGAGCAGAUGUGGAGUAUAAGCAGUUUUAAAGAAGAUUUUGUUGUUAUGUUUAACAUGAGCAACUCCUACGUUCAAGUGUGCAACACACAUCUUGUUGAAGAAAAAAUUUGCGAAAUACUUGGUUU